rnacentral:rRNA from 1 species
AUGGACGCAAGUCUGAUGGAGCAACGCCGCGUGAGUGAAGAAGGUUUUCGGAUCGUAAAGCUCUGUUGUUGGUGAAGAAGGAUAGAGGUAGUAACUGGCCUUUAUUUGACGGUAAUCAACCAGAAAGUCACGGCUAACUACGUGCCAGCAGCCGCGGUAAUACGUAGGUGGCAAGCGUUGUCCGGAUUUAUUGGGCGUAAAGCGAGCGCAGGCGGAAAAAUAAGUCUAAUGUGAAAGCCCUCGGCUUAACCGAGGAAUUGCAUCGGAAACUGUUUUUCUUGAGUGCAGAAGAGGAGAGUGGAACUCCAUGUGUAGCGGUGGAAUGCGUAGAUAUAUGGAAGAACACCAGUGGCGAAGGCGGCUCUCUGGUCUGCAACUGACGCUGAGGCUCGAAAGCAUGGGUAGCGAACAGGAUUAGAUACCCUGGUAGUCCAUGCCGUAAACGAUGAGUGCUAAGUGUUGGGAGGUUUCCGCCUCUCAGUGCUGCAGCUAACGCAUGAAGCACUCCGCCUGGGGAGUACGACCGCAAGGUUGAAACUCAAAAGAAUUGACGGGGGCCCGCACAAGCGGUGGAGCAUGUGGUUUAAUUCGAAGCAACGCGAAGAACCUUACCAGGUCUUGACAUCU